AAAGGAACAACUUUCAUGGAGAUCACUUUAACAAAUUAUGAUUGGAAUUAGGUUGAAAUUGAGUUCUAAAGACAUGUUCAAUUGCUGAUUUGUAGUUGGGAAUAGUUAAAAUGUGUAGCUAUCUUAAGAAUUCACUAGGAAUUUAAUUGAUUAGCUGUUAGUAGAAGUUAGAAUGAGUAUUGAAGCUUUGAAAUUUUAUAUUUUUAGUGGAG
rnacentral:misc_RNA from 1 species